GACGAACGCUGGCGGCGUGCUUAACACAUGCAAGUCGAACGGAAAGGCCCUGCUUUUGUGGGGUGCUCGAGUGGCGAACGGGUGAGUAACACGUGAGUAACCUGCCCUUGACUGUGGGAUAACUUCAGGAAACUGGGGCUAAUACCGGAUAGGAGCUCCUGCUGCAUGGUGUGGGUUGGAAAGUUUCGGCGGUUGGGGAUGGACUCGCGGCUUAUCAGCUUGUAGGUGGGGUAGUGGCUUACCAAGGCUUUGACGGGUAGCCGGCCUGGGAGGGUGACCGGCCACAUUGGGACUGAGAUACGGCCCAGACUGCUACGGGAGGCAGCAGUGGGGAAUAUUGCACAAUGGGCGGAAGCCUGAUGCAGCAACGCCGCGUGCGGGAUGACGGCCUUCGGGUUGUAAACCGCUUUCGCCUGUGACGAAGAGUGAGUGACGGUAAUGGGUAAAGAAGCACCGGCUAACUACGUG
rnacentral:rRNA from 1 species